GUGGGGAAUUGUUCGCAAUGGGCGCAAGCCUGACGACGCAACGCCGCGUGGAGGAUGAAGAUUUUCGGAUCGUAAACUCCUUUCGAUCGAGACGAACUCCUUCGGGGUGAAUAAUCCCGGAGGUUGACGGUACCGAGAGAAGAAGCCCCGGCUAACUCCGUGCCAGCAGCCGCGGUAAUACGGGGGGGGCAAGCGUUGUUCGGAAUUACUGGGCGUAAAGGGCUCGUAGGUGGCCAACUAAGUCGGACGUGAAAUCCCUCGGCUUAACCGGGGAACUGCGUCCGAUACUGGUUGGCUUGAGUUUGGGAGAGGGAUGCGGAAUUCCAGGUGUAGCGGUGAAAUGCGUAGAUAUCUGGAGGAACACCGGUGGCGAAGGCGGCAUCCUGGACCAAUACUGACGCUGAGGAGCGAAAGCCAGGGGAGCAAACGGGAUUAGAUACCCGGGUAGUCC
rnacentral:rRNA from 1 species